rnacentral:rRNA from 1 species
AAAGCGUAUAGCAGUCAUGCAGGCAAAACCGCAUGAAAAAUGUAAAGCGUUAUGUGGAUCGAACAUUAGUAGAGAAGCGUGUGAGCCAGCUGCCAAGAAAAGCCGCUAUUGCUUCAUAAGUACCCGUACCGUAAACCGACACAGGUGGAUGAGGAGAGAAUCCUAAGGCCGGCGGGAGAAGUGUUGUUAAGGAACUCGGCAAAAUGACUCCGUAACUUCGGGAGAAGGAGUGCCACAGAGAUGUGGCCGCAGAGAAAUGGCCCAAGCAACUGUUUAGCAAAAACACAGGUCUAUGCAAAACCGAAAGGUGAGGUAUAUGGGCUGACGCCUGCCCGGUGCUGGAAGGUUAAGAGGAGAGGUUAGAGCAAUCGAAGCUUUGAAUUUAAGCCCCAGUAAACGGCGGCCGUAACGAUAACGGUCCUAAGGUAGCGAAAUUCCUUGUCGGGUAAGUUCCGACCCGCACGAAAGGCGUAAUGAUUUGGGCACUGUCUCAACAACACACCCGGUGAAAUUGAAAUACCAGUGAAGAUGCUGGUUACCUGCGCCAGGACGGAAAGACCCCAUGGAGCUUUACUCCAGUUUGAUACUGGGAUUCGGUACUGUCUGUACAGGAUAGGUGGGAGGCUAGGAAAUGGUGACGCCAGUUGCCAUGGAGCCAACCUUGGGAUACCACCCUUACAGUACUGGGUUUCUAACCUGCAGCCGUAACCCGGCUGGGGGACAAUGUCUGACGGGGAGUUUGACUGGGGCGGUCGCCUCCGAAAGAGUAUCGGAGGCGCUCAAAGGUUCCCUCAGAACGGUUGGAAACCGUUCGAAGAGUGCAAAGGCAGAAGGGAGCUUGACUGCGACACCGACGGGUGGAGCAGAUACGAAAGUAGGACUUAGUGAUCCGGUGGUAUAAAGUGGGAUUGCCAUCGCUCAACGGAUAAAAGCUACCCUGGGAUAACAGGCUUAUCACUCCCAAGAGUUCACAUCGACGGAGUGGUUUGGCACCUCGAUGUCGGCUCAUCGCAUCCUGGAGCUGUAGCAGGUUCCAAGGGUUGGGCUGUUCGCCCAUUAAAGCGGUACGCGAGCUGGGUUCAGAACGUCGUGAGACAGUUCGGUCCCUAUCCGGCGUGGGCGUAGGAUAUUUGAGAGGAGCUGUCCUUAGUACGAGAGGACCGGGAUGGACAAACCUCUGGUGUAUCUGUUGUUUUACCAAAGGCAUGGCAGAGUAGCCAAGUUUGGCAGGGAUAAACGCUGAAGGCAUCUAAGCGUGAAGCCCCCCUCAAGAUAAGAUAUCCCAUCUUCGGAGUAAGACCCCUUGAAGACUACAAGGUUGAUAGGCUUUGUGUGUAAGUGCGGUAACGCACUCAGCUGAGAAGUACUAAUAGGUCGAGGACUUACCAA